rnacentral:rRNA from 1 species
UAUGAAGGGUGCAAACGUUGCUCGGAAUCAUUGGGCGUAAAGCGCACGUAGGCGGUCUGUUAUGUCGAAUGUGAAAGCCCUCGGCUCAACUGAGGAAGUGCAUCCGAAACUGGCAGGCUAGAGUACUAAAGAGGGUCGCGGAAUUCCCGGUGUAGAGGUGAAAUUCGUAGAUAUCGGGAGGAACACCGGUGGCGAAGGCGGCGACCUGGGUAGAUACUGACGCUGAGGUGCGAAAGCGUGGGGAGCAAACAGG